GAUGAACGCUGGCGGCGUGCCUAAUACAUGCAAGUCGAGCGAACGGACGAGAAGCUUGCUUCUCUGAUGUUAGCGGCGGACGGGUGAGUAACACGUGGAUAACCUACCUAUAAGACUGGGAUAACUUCGGGAAACCGGAGCUAAUACCGGAUAAUAUUUUGAACCGCAUGGUUCAAAAGUGAAAGACGGUCUUGCUGUCACUUAUAGAUGGAUCUGCGCUGCAUUAGCUAGUUGGUAAGGUAACGGCUUACCAAGGCAACGAUGCAUAGCCGACCUGAGAGGGUGAUCGGCCACACCGGAACUGAGACACGGUCCAGACUCCUACGGGAGGCAGCAGUAGGGAAUCUUCCGCAAUGGGCGAAAGCCUGACGGAGCAACGCCGCGUGAGUGAUGAAGGUCUUCGGAUCGUAAAACUCUGUUAUUAGGGAAGAACAUAUGUGUAAGUAACUGUGCACAUCUUGACGGGACCUAAUCAGAAAGCCACGGCUAACUACGU
rnacentral:rRNA from 1 species